rnacentral:rRNA from 1 species
GAUGAACGCUAGCGGCAGGCUUAAUACAUGCAAGUCGUGGGGCAGCAUGUCCCGUAGCAAUACGGGAUGAUGGCAACCGGCAAACGGGUGCGGAACACGUACACAACCUUCCUUUAAGUGGGGAAUAGCCCAGAGAAAUUUGGAUUAAUACCCCGUAACAUAGUGAAAAGGCAUCUUUUUACUCUUAUAGCUGUAAUGCGCUUGAUGAUGGGUGUGCGGCUGAUUAGGUAGUUGGCGGGGUAACGGCCCACCAAGCCUGCGAUCAGUAACUGGUGUGAGAGCACGACCAGUCACACGGGCACUGAGACACGGGCCCGACUCCUACGGGAGGCAGCAGUAAGGAAUAUUGGUCAAUGGACGCAAGUCUGAACCAGCCAUGCCGCGUGGAGGAUGAAGGUCCUCUGGAUUGUAAACUUCUUUUAUAUGGGACGAAAAAAGGUCUUUCUAGAUCAACUGACGGUACCAUAUGAAUAAGCACCGGCUAACUCCGUGCCAGCAGCCGCGGUAACAC